AAAGGUUUAUUAAGAAACUGAAAAACACAGAAGAAAACACAUAUAACGAAGUUCGACAAAAACCAAAAAACCCAGAAACAAUACAACACAAAGCCUAUGCAUUCAAAUCAGUAGCACAAUCAGUUGGACGACACGGCAAGCCGUCGCAAGAAAGGAUCUUGACUAGGGAGGAUAGCUGUGUGUUAAUCCAGACAUCCGAGCACGUCUUCCUCACACUAUGACUAGGCGAUCGUGAGCUGCACAAUUCGCUUUUCUAGAAAUCCAGUGCCAAAAAAUGUCUACAAGGAGGUGGGCAUUUAGAGGUGAAAUUCUCCAAUUCUUUCUCGAAUCUGUACCAUUGAUGAUGUUAACUAAUUCUUGGCAGUCGGCUCAAUUUGUGUAGGAAAAUGGAAGUAAUUCUUGGCGAAGGAGAGAGCUACAAUAGCUGCUUGGGCUUCCACUCCAAUUGCCGAGCUUGCACAGCAGCAAUGAGAAGCUCCAUAAAUUAGAGAACCAUGAUCAUUUCUCACAACAUUUCCGAGCCCAACAAGGUUAGUGUCAACUAUCCAAGCUGUGUCGAAGUUAAUUUUGAUAGAACUAAUGGGAGGCAGUUUCCAGGUUGUGUUUGGAUUUUCUGGGAUGGAGUUGGUGGUUGGUUGAUCUUAUGAAGGGUGAUUUACAAUCAGGGUACGAUGGGUAUAUAUUUGGUCCGAGGGGAGAGGGUCGGAUGAUGUUCAAAGAUUUCUGACCCGCUGCCUCCAACUGUGUGAUCAAUAUGAUGGUGAUGGACAUUGGCCUGGGUGGGGCGGGAACAUGUCUGAGUAGUGUGGAUGUUGUCACAUAGAUCAAUGGAUGAAUGAAUGGGAUUGGGAUUGUUGUUUGGGAUUUGGAGGGUAUGGAUAUUGGUAUGGGGUUGGCUUUGGAUGAUCUGUGACCUUUGCGGAGGAGAGGUUGAACUGUUUGAAGUGUUUGCAUUUGGUAGGGAAUGAAGAUAUAUAUCGGUGGCGUUGGUAGUGGAGAAGAGGGAGGUAGAAGCGAGAAAGAGAGAGGGAGGGAAGUACUGUAAGAGUAGGUGUCAUCCUGAUUCUCGUACUUAUGGUCUCCAGGAAUUCCAAAGCUGCACUCUCUGCCCCUAAAACAAUUCCCAAAUGAUGGGUUCUUACAGCUUGAUAGAGGAAAUGACAACGACUCUUCCACAAUUCCCAACAGAUGAACGAAAUUCUGUGUAGGAGAUGGUGCCAUCAUGGGCUGGACAUUAGCUCUAAAGACUGGUUGGAAGUGAAGGAGCCGGAGAGACUAGACUCGCCUCCUUUUGUUCACGCUGGCAUCAGGCACUGCAGUGGUUAACCAUUUCGCACUCCUUGUAGCGAUCAAACAGACAUUCGUACUUGAACUGUACGGUAAAGACAUCAGUCGUGGAAACCUCGAUCUGGCGUUCAAGUUGCACCAAAUCAUUCAUGGGCAAACCCUAACCUGGGCCCCUCCGCAUCUUAUGCCAGCUUGCUUUACAUGCAAAACUAGUCCAAUUGUUUCACCAACAACCUUGGCAAUCACAUCAGCGAAUAGAGCGGGAGAAAGUCCCUGGAUUUUAACCUAGAUCCAGAAAAAGUUCAAAGAGACAUCAACUGUAUUUGAGGGUUUAGGAAGUCCCUUGUCGUCCAACCAGCUUCCGACCCGCGGCCUCCAAACAACAAUCUCAGACCACAGUCAUACAACCUCUCCGUUGCCCAAACCGAACCAAGAUGGCCAGAUUCGAGACCUCACAAAGGUUGUGACCUCUCCCACCUCCUGCCUCCGCUCCAGUCAAUCCAAAUUGAAACUGUCUUGA